rnacentral:rRNA from 1 species
AAUGAUACGGUAAAGUUAACGGAUAGUUUUUUUGUGGCAACACAAUUAAAAUUAAAAGUUAUUUAAAUCUCAUUGUUUAGAGGAAGGAGAAGUCGUAACAAGGUAUCCGUAGUGAACCUGCGGAUGGAUCAUUUU